UACGUAGGUGGCAAGCGUUGUCCGGAUUUACUGGGCGUAAAGGAUGCGUAGGCGGACAUUUAAGUCAGAUGUGAAAUACCCGAGCUUAACUUGGGUGCUGCAUUUGAAACUGGGUGUCUAGAGUGCAGGAGAGGUAAGUGGAAUUCCUAGUGUAGCGGUGAAAUGCGUAGAGAUUAGGAAGAACACCAGUGGCGAAGGCGACUUACUGGACUGUAACUGACGCUGUGGCGCGAAAGCUAGGGGAGCAAACGGG
rnacentral:rRNA from 1 species